AUUGGAGGGCAAGUCUGGUGCCAGCAGCCGCGGUAAUUCCAGCUCCAAUAGCGUAUAUUAAAGUUGUUGUGGUUAAAAAGCUCGUAGUUGAACCUUGGGCCUGGCUGGCCGGUCCGCCUCACCGCGUGUACUGGUCCGGCCGGGCCUUUCCCUCUGUGGAACCUCAUGCCCUUCACUGGGUGUGGCGGGGAAACAGGACUUUUACUUUGAAAAAAUUAGAGUGCUCCAGGCAGGCCUAUGCUCGAAUACAUUAGCAUGGAAUAAUGAAAUAGGACGUGUGGUUCUAUUUUGUUGGUUUCUAGGACCGCCGUAAUGAUUAAUAGGGACAGUCGGGGGCAUCAGUAUUCAAUUGUCAGAGGUGAAAUUCUUGGAUUUAUUGAAGACUAACUACUGCGAAAGCAUUUGCCAAGGAUGUUUUCAUUAAUCAGGAACGAAAGUUAGGGGAUCGAAGACGAUCAGAUACCGUCGUAGUCUUAACCAUAAACUAUGCCGACUAGGGAUCGG
rnacentral:rRNA from 1 species